rnacentral:rRNA from 1 species
GUGUCAGCCGCCGCGGUAAUACGUAGGGGGCGAGCGUUGUCCGGAGUUAUUGGGCGUAAAGGGCGUGUAGGCGGCCUGUUAAGUCAGGUGUGAAAUUUCAGGGCUUAACCCUGAAACUGCGUUUGAAACUGGCAGGCUUGAGGACAGGAGAGGGAAGUGGAAUUCCCGGUGUAGCGGUGGAAUGCGUAGAUAUCGGGAGGAACACCAGUGGCGAAGGCGGCUUCCUGGACUGUACCUGACGCUGAGGCGCGAAAGCUAGGGGAGCAAACAGGAUUAGAUACCCUGGUAGUCCUAGCCGUAAACGAUGAGUGCUAGGUGUGGGAGGUUAAAAUCCUUCCGUGCCGGAGUUAACGCAAUAAGCACUCCGCCUGGGGAGUACGGCCGCAAGGCUAAAACUCAAAGGAAUUGACGG